rnacentral:rRNA from 1 species
AACUACCGGUCUCGCGAAUGCUUAGAUUAAGUUGAUCAUGGCUCCAGAGCGAACGCUUAGGUAGGCCUAACACAUGCAAGUCGAACGGCCAGCACAGGAGAGCUUGCUCUCUGGGUGGCGAGUGGCGGACGGGUGAGGAAUACAUCGGAAUCUACUCUGUCGUGGGGGAUAACGUAGGGAAACUUACGCUAAUACCGCAUACGACCUACGGGUGAAAGCAAGGGGGAUCUUCGGACCUUGCGCGAUUGAAUGAGCCGAAUGUCAGGAUUAGCUAGUUGGCAGGGGUAAAGGCCCACCAAGGCGACGAAUCCACGGUAAGCUGGAUCCUGACGAAGGACAUGAAUCAAGCCACAAACGUUGGAACCUGAGACAACGGGUCCAAAGACAUCCUAACGGGGAAGAGCACGACAAGAUGGGGGAAAUCAUUCGGGACCACAUGGGCCGCAAAAGCCUGAAUCCCAAGCCAAUUACNCCAGNCGAUGAGAGGUGCACACAGACAACGAGCCCUCUCCAGCGAGGUUUUGUACAAAACGCACCCUUUNUAGUUUAGGAGAAAACGAAAAAAUUCCCAUGGCCCAUGAGCGCUUAAUUACCCUUGAGNAUAGCGGGACNUGAACUCGAGUUACACCCCAAACAAGCAACAAUUCAACAGCGCCAACANGCCACGCGGACACUNUAACAANCUUNCCGACGUUGNCAGCUCAAAGCNACCCAANCAGCGACCAGGCGNGACNGNUGAAGAAUCUANCGCGAACAACNCGGGCGUCUGGACCCAGCAACCGAACCCAGGANUUCGAAANCUAUUUCCCGGCGGAAAACUUCUCAAACACCAUUCGGCGAAGGCGAGAACUUACAUGACAACCAGCACAGACUNAGCGACAGCGCUUUAAAACGAGGGUCACGAAGGGAUCUGUCNAUCAUAAUCACACGGUACCCCCCGACUCCACGCCCGGAAAACAAGAGCNCACCUCAUGAGGAGCGAGUNNCANAAAGCACAUCGUCNGGAAACACAACCACUCUGCAAAAGCGNUAGGGGAGGACAUCACCCGUUCGGGAGACCCUAANCNAUGCAUCGAAAGACACNUCGNAGCUGAACGGGGAG